AAAUUAUCCAGCCAUAGCAUUUAACCUGAUGACCUACUGCAGCAGCAAAUUCCACAGCCUGAGAAUGUGAUACAAAGAAGUUACGGGGAUCAGAUUUCCACCUGGGAAAUGGACACCAUCUUGGCCAGACAGACUCCCAGCAAUCAGCAAUGCCAUCCUUGGAAUCUGCUGAAGCUGGUCUCCUUUAUUGGGUUGACUUAGACCACCACUAAAAAUUCCGGAAAUGGGAAAC